rnacentral:ncRNA from 1 species
CGGGAGGCGGAUUAAAAGGGAACCGGGUGAGAAUCCCGGACAGACCACGCUGCUGUGAACUUCUAAACAUUCGGACAAUACCUUGGCCACUGGUUUCGUAAUCGGGAAGGCGUCCAGAAUGGAAGUAAGUCAGAAGACCUGCCGGUUCAUAAA